UACGUAGGCAGCGAGCGUUGUUCGGAAUUACUGGGCGUAGAGAGUGUGUAGGCGGUGCUCUAAGUUCGGUGUGAAAUCUCCCGGCUUAACUGGGAGGGUGCGCCGGAAACUGGAGUGCUCGAACGUAGGAGAGGAAAGCGGAAUUCCUGGUGUAGCGGUGAAAUGCGUAGAUAUCAGGAGGAACACCUGCGGUGUAGACGGCUUUCUGGACCAUUGUUGACGCUGAGACACGAAAGCGUGGGUAGCAAACAGG
rnacentral:rRNA from 1 species